GCCGGGGUCUCCUAGUGGCUAUGGAGGUGGUCUCGAAUCAUCUGCUUUAGCGAGAGAACCGCUGUGUUCGCACGCAUGAGUUCAAGUCUCAUCCCCGGCG
rnacentral:tRNA from 1 species